GUCCCCUUCGUCCAGCGGUUAAGACACCGGGUUUUCAUCCCGGCAACACGGGUUCGACUCCCGUAGGGGAUA
rnacentral:tRNA from 1 species